GGGAAAACCUAAAAAGGGAACAUUUGCUUGCCUUAAUUGUGUGUGUUGCGCAUCUAUUAUCAAGGGAGAUAGGGUUAAUCACCCCUUAUAUGGCACCCCCUUGUUUUUAAAAAAUUAUGCAACAUGCGACACAUGCAACGUAGUCUACCUACUUAAAUGCCCGUGUGGAAUGGCAUACGUAGGGCAAACUGCUAGGCAAAUAAAAAUACGGAUUAAGGAACAUCGAGGGUAUAUCCGAAAUUAUAAAAAAGACACCUACACAGAUACAGCAGUUGCGAGACACUUCGCAGAAAUGAAACACAAUGUCAAUCAGUUGAAAUGGCUUGUACUAGAAGUAGUGCAAAACCCUCCUAGGGGAGGGGAUGUGAAAACCAAAUUGUUACAACGGGAAAUGUACUGGAUUAAGAAACUAAACACUAUGAAUCCAAAAGGCUUGAAUGAGUCUUGGAGCGUAAAAAGUUUCUUAUAAAAAGUUCUUUAUAAACGGUCCUAAUAUGUGCAUUACUCUUCUUUUCCAGAUAUUGAUCAGUAUUAAUAGCCAAGAUAUGUUUGAAAACUUCUAAUGUCACUGUUUUUCCUACUUCCACCUUAAAGACUUAUCGCAAAAAGUAAAGACACACAACAGACACCAUUGAAACGCUUCAAAAGACUUUAUUUGUACCAAACAAAAAUCUGUAUUGGACAUUGUCACGCUUCAGUAUGUUUUUCUAAAUAAUUUUUUCACUAAUCUUUUAGGCAAGGGUUAAUAAUUGGAAAGUUCGUUUCCAUUAUAUUGUGUCACUUCCUGUCUAACACCUUUUAAGUAAUGAUGCACUGAUUGUCUCCACACUUGACAAAGAGCCUUCUAUGGUUCGAAACAUGUAGUGUUGGCAAAUAAACACUGAUGAUUUAGCAGUUAA